CCUUCGAUGGCUCAGUUGGAGAGCGGAGGACUGUCGAUCUUUAGGUCCCUGGUUCGAAUCCGGCUCGAAGGA
rnacentral:tRNA from 1 species